GUUCUAUCGUAUCUUUUUACAGUUUUGACAGGUUCAACAGCCACGAAGUUUGACACCAGUGUUACUGCCUUUCUGUCAAACCAGCGGACAAAAGCAAUGCCUUUCUCGUUGACGCGGUGGUCAUAGGAUCCCUGUCCACGUUUUUUCAGUGACUUUUCAUCCAUCACAGCAGGAACAACAGGCCUCCUCCGGCACAAUGCACAAAGACCAAUCUCGUCAACUAGGUCCAGCGUGCUAAAAAAGUUGUCAGCAGCAACUUUGAAUCCUACGUUGGGCGGUACCUCAGAACACAUGCUGAGGACAGUAUCACGUCCAAGUCCAAACGUGUACUUUUGCUUGGAGUGGCCUUGGUAGACAUCAAACUGGUAAAGGAUACCUGUUGUGCCUGCUCGUCCCCAGAGCUUGAAUCCCCAUGGUGCUGGCUUGUUGGGAAUAUAUUGUUUUAGAUGCUCCUUCCAGGAAAUGACACCAUGAUCUCGCCUCCUGUUCGAUGGCCUGGAAGUUUUGCUGCAGCUUUGAUAGCCAAGGACGCAGCUUCCACAGCUUGUCCUCCUUCUGUUCGUCAGUAACUUCCAAGUUGUCAAGAAUGUGCAGAGACCUCAUGCAUUUCGUGAAGCGGUUUUGUGACAUCACGUCUGCAAUUGGGGAGUGUCUUGUGCCUUUUUCCCAAUAGCAUCUAACAUUUGGCAUCUUCACAAGUCCCUUCUGAUGAGAAGCCUUGAGCAGCUCCUUUUCCCACCCAUUUCUUGGAAGUGAAGAUGAACUAAUAGUUGGACCACAGUCACC